rnacentral:sRNA from 1 species
ACUUCUCCCCGUGUAAGAGUGCUGGUGAAGGCUGAGGCAAGGGCCCAGAAAGAUUGAGGGACAAAGACAGGAGCGCCCGCAUUGCCCAUCUGCCAGGCUGGAGGUGUAUUCAUUAUUGAUGGAGGUAGUGCAGUUGCUGCUCAGAUAUGCAGCCCUGCCUGGAUAACCUGAGGACAAUGGAUGCUGAUGAGGGUCAAGACAUGUCCCAAGUUUCAGGGAAGGAAAGCCCCCCUGUAAGCGAUACUCCAGAUGAGGGCGAUGAGCCCAUGCCGAUCCCCGAGGACCUCUCCACCACCUCGGGAGGACAGCAAAGCUCCAAGAGUGACAGAGUCGUGGGUAAGUGGGUCACCAGCGGCCUCUGUGCCUGUGAAACCUUUAUCUCUUUGUAUUUUUCCAAGACAAUGAUGAAGGGAUGCAAGUCAUUUUAUCCAUUGUGUUCCCUCAACUGGCAUAUUAAAGAAAUAUGGCACAAAGAUCAGCAGGAUGGGGGUCCUCUGGUGUGUGGGAGGAUGGACACUCACAGGCCAGCAUGGCCGUGAGAGCCGCACACCCCAGAAAAUGUCCAAGUUGAGGAGCAGUCCUGCCCAGGGACGCGUCUCUGUCACUGUCCUCUGUCCUCACUGCACUUGCAGGAAUAUCAAAUGUUAUGGAUUGUAGAUCGUGAAAAUUACACACUUACGUGUUUUGGCAACAGUGCUUUUCAGUGUUUAGGGUUAGAACAAGCCACAUCUGGCCAUUUUAUGUUAUCCCUCUAAUCUCUAGUUCUUAAAUUUCAGAUUUAACUGGAAAUAGAAAGUUUCAUAAAUGGUAAUUUUUAAAUGUUAGAAAAAAAUCAAAGCACACAUUUACAUACCUUUUCCAUAAAAAAGUGUGUGUGGAACCAUCUGCAACUCCACUGGUUAACUUACACACGCGACAGUUUGUGUUUGGAAAACUUCACCCACCCUCUUUAUUUCAAGAAACCAAAGACUGAGAGAAGUUCAGUGAAUUAACCAAGGUGAAAUGACAGAGUCAGAAUUGAACUGAAUUUCUGACUGAAAAACUAGUUCUCGCUCCAUUAUACCAUGUUCUAAUGAGCUAAUGAGUCAACAGUUCCCUGGAAUACCUGUUUUCUUCUUUAAAAAGAGAAAGAGCUGUGAUACUGAGAGCUACCUAUUGGCAUAAAAGAAUAUGAAGGACAUACAGGUAAAAUGAGGUAGACUGGAUCAAUGUGGGUCAGCUACAUAAGCCCCCAUAGCCAAGGAGGGAACAUGUAUGUAAAAUUCUCAGGCUUAUGAGAAUCACAACUGUCUGUCUAUAGGACAUCCUAAUGCAAUAAUGGGAAAAUGUGAUAACUGAAUUUUAUCUACAUGUAUAGAAAACAUAUUUUGGGCCGGGCACGGUGGCUCAAGCUUGUAAUCCCAGCACUUUGGGAGGCCGAGGCUGGCGGAUCACGAGGUCAGGAAAUCGAGACCAUCCUGGCUAACACGGUGAAACCCCGUCUCUACUAAAAACACAAAAAAUUAGCCCGGCGUAGUGGUGGGCGCC